GCUCCAAUAGUCUAAUGGAUAGAAUAGCGGUUUCCGGUACCGUAGAUGCGGGUUCGAUUCCUGCUUGGAGCGCCA
rnacentral:tRNA from 2 species